rnacentral:snRNA from 1 species
AUGCUCGUUUAAGCAGCACAUACACUAAAAUUGGGGUGAUACAGACAAGAUUAGCAUGGCCCCUGUGCAAGGAUGACACGCAAAUUCGUGAAGGGUUCCAUGUUUAA